ensembl:lncRNA
AUGCUACAGCCCCUAUGGCCUUUGUUGACGCAUCAGAGAAAACACAGAUUUCUUUGUGAAUUGCCUUUGAAUGAGAGUUGGGUGUGUAAGGACAAAGAAUGUGAAGGUGUUGCAAGUCUUUCACUGAAUGCCCUUCAUGAUUCCCACUCACCAUGUUUCUCUUGUGGCAGUGAUUCAUCCCAGUCUGUUCCUUCAAUGGAUAGCUCUCGAAGUAGAAACCUCCCCUGUAUAGUGACAGGAGCCACAAGACCGAGAGGAUGCUUGUGUUCUCUUUAGUAGGUCUAUUGCUUCCUCUUCAGUUGGCAAGGAGAUUAGUGCAUCAUCCACAUAGAAUCCACGUUCCACAAAGUACCGGGUGUCUGGACCGUAUCGCAGAGCACCCUUCUCUGCUGCUCGUCUUAAACAGUAAAUCGCUACCGCCAGGGAAGGGCUGUUGCCAAACACAUGGACUUUCAUCUUGUAUUCAACAAUGUCCUUGUUAAGGUCGUUAUCACGGUACCAUAGGAAGCGUAGGUAAUCUCUGUGAUCUUCUCUCACAACAAAACAGUGAAACAUUUGUUGUAUGUCUGCCAUCACUGCUACACAUUCUUUCCUGAAGCGCAUCAGGACGCCAAUGAGGCUGUUAUUAAGGUCUGGUCCAGUGAGGAGCACAUUAUUGAGAGAGGUACCUUCAUGCUGUGCGCUGGAGUCAAAUACUACCCUGAUCUGAUCUGUUUUUUUGGGAUGAUAGACUCCGAAUAGUGGUAAGUACCAGCAUUCAUUUCCCUUUGGUAGUGGAGCUGCAAGUUCUGCAUGAUCACUGUUGAAUAGUUUUUGCAUGAAAGUUACAAACUGUUCUUUCAUAUCUGGCUUCCGUUCUAGGGUACGUCGUAAGGAAGAGAGGCGGCUCAAAGCUUGAUCUCUGUUGUUCGAAAGAACUGGGCAUGGAGACCUAAAAGGAAGAGGGGCCACCCAACUGUUGGAAUUAUCCUGGAAAACAUCUUUCUCCAUAAUCUUUAGAAAGACUUCAUCCUCGACGGAGAGUGCAGGCUUAUUGUCAUUCUCUGAUCUCUUAAAUAGAGUCUGGCCGAGAUUGUCUUCGUUCAUGUUACAGUGGGCUUCGAAGUCAUGGGCUGUAUGCAGAGCUGUUAAGUUACUGGUGAUCUUUUCUUUAAUGUGUACGUGACUUGUACAAGGAAUAAACAGUGAGGGUCUUCCAUUUUCUAAGAUGUUUGUCUUGAAACUGGAAACACUGGGCUUGUGCACAUCUCCUAGGCAUACUUCACCGACCAGAACCCAUCCUAAGUCAAGUUUUUGGCCAAAGGGUGUGUUAUUUGGGCCAUUAAUUUGUUUCCUCACUUUAUGAACUCUGAGUAUGUCUCGUCUGGUAUUUCAGAUGCAAUAUGCUUGAGGUGAAGUUGAUGGAGAGCAGCUUCAGGUGUUGGAAUUUCAUCACGGUUGUUGGGUAUUUCAUCACAUUCAAUUAGUGUUGGAAGCGCAAGACUGAUUCCACCAUUUGCCGCUUCAAUCUGAUAGCCAUUUGCUUUCCUUCCUAAGCACUCAAUCAACCCAGCACAUGUCUUUAGGCUGUAAGGAGUUGCUUUACUAUUGAUGUUGAAUAUGUCAAAAAAUCUUGACCUGGCCAGAGAUCUGUUGCUCUGAUCGUCGAGUAUAGCAUACAUCUUUACUGCAUUCUCAGGAUGCCCCACAGGAAACACCUUGACGAGACAUAUUUUGGAACAAGAUUUUGUGGAAAGACCAUGACAAACUUCAGUGCAAAGGGAGCUCACUUCUUGUGUUGUUGGAUUUUCUCCUGCAUCCUCCCCGCCAUGCUGUAAUGGAGGACUUCGGAUUUUAGGUGUCCAUGAGGGUGGACCAGGAUGCAGAGCUGAGUUGUGACUGUCACUGUUGCAAUCAUCACAUUUUAGAAUGACUUUGCAAUCGCGAGCAAAGUGUGAUGAUGAAGAGCAGCACCUAAAGCAGAUCCCUUGGUCUUUUAGGUAUGCUUUUCGCUCAUCGAUGGUUUUCAAUCUGAAGCCUCGACAUUUCCUUAAAGGGUGAGGUUUGUUGUGUAUAGGACAGUAUUUGGCUGGAUCAUCUUUAGAAGGCAUUUUGUCUUGAAAUGCACUAUGAGAGAUUUCAGUUUUGUGCACCAACACUGGCGUCUUGAAGUUAGAGCGGUUUACAGUGAGCCCUUCAUACUGUGGGCGGCAACUACUAGAAAAGGCAAAGCUGGGAUCAUUACGUGUUUUAGCAUGAUUGCAAAUGAACUGAGUAAAGAACGAGAAAGGAGGAUAAGUGACACCAAAUUCUUCUUUGAACUUUGAGCCUUGAGAAAUCCAUUUCUCUUGUAAGGUAUAUGGCAGUUUUUCAACGAUGGGCCUGAUGCCGCGAGCAGUGUCUAAGUAGGCUAAACCUGGUAGAUAGCCGUCAUCUUUGGCUGAGAGAAGCUCCAUUAAAAGAUCUCCUAGCUCUCUUAAUUUGAGGUUGUCUUUACCUGAAAUCCUGGGAAAACUGUCUAACUUCUUAAACAAUGCACUUUCGAUUACUUCAGGUGAGCUGUAGCAUUCAUCAAGUCUGUUCCAGACCAUUUUCAAGGCUGUGUCUGGGUUUCCUAUGUGAACUGCCCUGAGACGUCUUACGUAUUCUGAAGAUUCUUUACCAAGCCACUUUGACAACAAGUCUAGCUCCUCACUGGCCGUAAGACCCAAGUCUUUGAUUGUGUUGAUAAAAGAGGACCUCCAGGCUCUGUAACUUUCAGGGUGAUCAUCAAAGCGUGUUAAACCACUGCUCACCAGCUCACGACGUGCAAGAUAUUUCACUAGGUCCAUCAUGCCUGAAGUUUCUGAGUGUUGUGGCAAAGAUCUGGAUACACCGCUGCACUUAGCCUGUUGCUGCCAUUUAUUGCUGACUGGUAUUUCUAUUGACUCUUUUUUCAUGUUUCUUGGGAGUUUUACUUGUUGCAGUUUUGGCACUCUUAGAGAUGGAGAUGUAGAACAUGCAUCAAGUACGACAUACUGGUCAUCAUUCACAUGCACUAUAUUUGGUUCAGUUUGAGAGGUAAACUGGUUCUGAUCCGUCACUUGGUCUGGUUCAGAUUUGCAAUCAUGAGACUGAUCAGCGGUUAAGUCGGCCUGCUCACUGAGAUAUGUAGCUUGAUCCCUGACAUAAUCACAAACACGUUUUUUUGUGCUUUGUGCUGAUGAAGAGUGACUUUUCCUUUCAUAUGGCUCCUCAUCCUCAAACUCUGCUGCUGCUUCUAAUAUAUCCGCUUCUGCACUAGCAGCUGCAGCCUCUUUUUCCAGAUGUAGGGCUUCCAAAUUAGCUUGUAGUCUGGCUGAGUCCACUUUAAUUGCAAUUUCUCUCUCUGAAAAGGUAACUCGUGCACGUGCUGCCUCUGCCUUAGCUCUAGCACGUGCUGCAGCAACACCAACUGAAGAUCUUGAUGAUCUUGAAGUUCUUAUGGAACUUUUAGAGGAUGUGUCAGAUGCUCUGUUACUUUUACUUUGUAUCUUUCCUAACGUGGUGUCUUUUAGAUACCUUUCAGCCAUGAUGCUCACUACUUGCUACUGUACGCUUCUGCCAAGAUGUUCAGCCAGCUGAUUUGUCAUUUCACUGUACUGCUCUCCUUGUGUGUUUCCAUAUGUGUGAACACAAUUUAGCAGCAAGCCAAACUCCCUUCAAAUAAAGACUGGAGCCAGGGUGUAGUUUUCAAAACUCCUGAUGUUUACUCCAAUAUGCUUCAAAGGAGAGUGAAACUAUCAAAAACAAUACACAAAUAAAUUGUUUUUAGUAAAAAGAAUACAAAAUAUAUACACAAUAUAAAGGCUGACAGAGCAGAGUUACCAGUUGAGCAAUUGGUGUAUAAAAUAAAAAAUAAUUAUUACCAAUAUAGCAUAGGUAAUAAAGAAAAUAUUCUCAAUUUACAAAUUUUACAAUAAUUACUUACUGACAAUGCUUUCGAAGACAUGAACAUUAAAGAAAACUGGAGCGGCAGUCACAUGGAGCUUAAAGCUUGAGAGAG